rnacentral:rRNA from 1 species
CCUACGGGUGGCAGCAGUGAGGCAUAUUGGUCAAUGGACGAGAGUCUGAACCAGCCAAGUAGCGUGAAGGAUGACUGCCCUAUGGGUUGUAACCUUCUUUUAUAUGGGAAUAAAAUGUUCCACGUGUGGGAUUUUGUCUGUCCCAUAUGAUUAAGGAUCGGCUAACACCGUGCCAGCAGCCGCGGUAAUACGGAGGAUCCGGGCGUUAUCCGGAUUUAUUGGGGUUAAGGGGAGCGUAGGUGGAUGGUUAAGUCAGCGGUAAAAUGUCCGGGCUCAACCCGGGCCGGCCAUUGAAACUGGGGAUCUUGAGGGGGCGAGAGGUAGGCGGAAUGCGUGGUGUAGCGGUGAAAUGCAUAGAUAUCACGCAGAACUCCGAUUGCGAAGGCAGCAUACCGGCGCCCGACUGACGCUGAGGCACGAAAGCGUGGGGAGCGAACAGGAUUAGAUACCCCUGUAGUC